UACAGAGGGGGCGAGCGUUGUUCGGAAUUACUGGGCGUAAAGCGCACGUAGGCGGAUAUUUAAGUCAGGGGUGAAAUCCCGGGGCUCAACCCCGGAACUGCCUUUGAUACUGGGUAUCUCGAGUCCGAGAGAGGUGAGUGGAAUUCCGAGUGUAGAGGUGAAAUUCGUAGAUAUUCGGAGGAACACCAGUGGCGAAGGCGGCUCACUGGCUCGGUACUGACGCUGAGGUGCGAAAGCGUGGGGAGCAAACAGG
rnacentral:rRNA from 1 species